rnacentral:rRNA from 1 species
UACGGGGGAGCAAGCGUUGUUCGGAUUACUGGGCGUAAAGGGCGCGUAGGCGGCCGCCCGCGUCGGACGUGAAAGCCCGGCUCAACCGGGAAGUGCACUCGAUACUGCCACGCUAGAGUAUCGGAGAGGUUGGUGAAUUCGUCGGUGUAGAGGUGAAAUUCGUAGAUAUCGAGAGGAACACGUGGCGAAGGCGGCCUUCUGGACAGUGACUGACGCUGAGUGCGAAAGCGUGGGAGCAACAG